UAUAUUACUCCCAAAUUUACGACACUAAGGGCCCGUUUGAAUACCUCUAAAAACGUAGCAUAGUUAAACUAUGCUACGCUGGUAGAAAAAUAAUCUUAUGAAGUAUUUGGAAGAAAAAAAAAUGACGUAAUUUUUGGAGUAUAGUUAUACUAUACUCCAAAAAAUGAAGUAAACUUACAAUCCACUUUAACCAAAGUAAAAAAAAUUCCACCAUUUUGGGCUCCCAAAGAUGUAUCAAUUUUUAAAUUUUAAAUUUCAACAUAAAAUUUUAGAUUUCAAAUUUUAAAAUUUUAAAAUUCAAAUUUAAUUUUGAUUUUAAAUUUCAAAUUUUAAAUUUCAAAUUUCAAAUUUCAAAAACUUCAAAUUUUAAAUUUUAAAUUUCAAAUUUCAAAAACUUCAAAUUUCAAAUUUCAAAUUUCAAUUUUCAAUU
rnacentral:lncRNA from 1 species